rnacentral:snRNA from 1 species
CCUUCGGAAUUUGAAGCUAGA